AAUAUUGCACAAUGGGCGAAAGCCUGAUGCAGCAACGCCGCGUGAGGGAUGACUGCCUUCGGGUUGUAAACCUCUUUUAGUAGGGACGAAGCGAAAGUGACGGUACCUGCAGAAAAAGCACUGGCUAACUACGUUCCAGCAGCCGCGGUAAUACGUAGGGUGAGAGCUUUUUCCGGAAUUAUUGGUCGUAAAGAGCUCGUCGGCGGCUUGUCGCGUCUGCUGUGAAAUCCCGAGGCUCAACCUCGGGCCUGCAGUGGGUACGGGCAGGCUAGAGUGCGGUAGGGGAGAUUGGAAUUCCUGGUGUAGCGGUGGAAUGCGCAGAUAUCAGGAGGAACACCGAUGGCGAAGGCAGAUCUCUGGGCCGCUACUGACGCUGAGGAGCGAAAGCAUGGGGAGCAAACA
rnacentral:rRNA from 1 species